UACGUAGGUUGCGAGCGUUAUUCAGAUUUACUGGGCGUAAAGAGCACCGAGGUGGCUUCUUAAGUUGGAUGUGAAAUCUCCUGGCUUAACCGGGAGGCGCCAUUCAAAACUGGGGAGCUUGAGGUCAGCAGGGGAAGGUGGAAUUCCCGGUGUAGUGGUGGAAUGCGUAGAGAUCGGGAGGAACACCAGUGGCGAAAGCGACCUUCUGGGCUGCACCUGACACUCUAGUGCGAAAGCGUGGGGAGCAAACAGG
rnacentral:rRNA from 1 species